rnacentral:rRNA from 3 species
ACUUAAAUUGAAGAGUUUGAUCAUGGCUCAGAUUGAACGCUGGCGGCAGGCCUAACACAUGCAAGUCGAACGGUAACAGGAAGCAGCUUGCUGCUUCGCUGACGAGUGGCGGACGGGUGAGUAAUGUCU